GACGAACCGUGCGAACGUUGUUCGGAAUCACUGGGCUUAAAGGGCGCGUAGGCGGACCAUCAAGUCAGGAGUGAAAUCCCCCGGCUCAACCGGGGAAGUGCUUUUGAUACUGGUGGUCUCGAGUGGGGUAGGGGCGUGCGGAACUUCCGGUGGAGCGGUGAAAUGCGUAGAGAUCGGAAGGAACGCCGGUGGCGAAAGCGACACACUGGGUCUCAACUGACGCUGAGGCACGAAAGCUAGGGGAGCAAACGGG
rnacentral:rRNA from 1 species